rnacentral:lncRNA from 1 species
AAGCCUAAAUAUGUGAAGCUUCUAAAUAUGAAAACUUAAAAUAAGUAAAAGAGUUUACUAAUAGAAUUAUCUGAUAUGAUGGUUGGGACAACGAGCCCAGCUGGUUGCAUAGCUACAGUCCUAGAGAAUCUCCACGAUCGUAUCACGGAUGGCAUCCCAAAAGCUCUAAGGUCGAUGGCUCAGAAGCCUCUACAUGACCUCCUCCAUAUGCACAUCACUCCAAGUCU